CGCCUUUACUCGAGCUUAACUGUGACUGAUCUUCUGGGGAUCUGGUCUCUAAGGCCCUGGGCCCGUCAGAUCCUUAAAUUCUUGUCGCGGGAGAUUUCGGCCCAGUGUUUCCGGGGGGGACAAAGGGCUCACUUUGUGCGGGGGGCCCCCUGGCGAUGUCGUGUUUCAAGGGCCAGCUGUCGCGCAGACACGGAGGUCUCCCGAGAGCAGCCUGCUGCGACCCGAUGGCAGGGGCUGCGGUGCGCCCCGAGUCGCCCCCCUGCCCCCGGCCUCACAGCCGUAACGUGGGCCCUGUGAUGUUGCCUUCCAGAAUCACGGGACAGCCAACCCCCUAGGCAGUGGCGCUCUGACGUGGACAAAGAAAUUCAGCCUGGACUACUUAGCUCUGGACUUCAACUCAGCCUCCCCGGCCCCUGUACAGCAGAAACUUCUCCUCGCGGAAGAGCAAAGAGUCGACUACGUCCAAGUGGAUGAGCAGAAGACCCAAGCCCUGCAGAGCACGAAGCAGGAGUGGACGGACGAGAGGCAGUCCAAAGUGUGAGGCGUGUGCUCGGGCCGGGAUCGGGGCGCGGAGGCUCGGGCCCUGCCCUCACGGCUCUUUUGCCAGAAUCGCACCGAGGGUCGAUCCGGGUCAAGAUCCGGGGAGAACCUGCAGGUUCCGUGGGCUCGGCAAGAACCGCUGGGAGAGAGGGUCAUUUGUGCACGCUGAGCGGCCCUCCCCGGCCACACGGGCCCGGAGCCCCCAGGCUGUGCCCCCACGGCCGUGGACCGCGCCCCGGACCGGGCCGUUCACUUAGGCACGCUCCGAACAGUAAAAACGAGACUGGGGGAGUAGGGUUCCCAGAGUUCGGUGGAGAAGCUGUCCAGCGGAGCGUCGGGGCGCAGAGGAGAGCCGGUCUUGCCAUCGGGACCAUUUGGGUGUCACACUUGCGGAUUCUGACCUGUGUCCUGACCUCCUGGCCCACGGACGGUCCUGGCACCGCGGCUCCUGGAGACGUCUCGUCCCGGCCCCCGAAAUCGCGGCUGAGGAGACGCAAGCCGGAGACCCCAACAGGCACAUCAGUCAUUUGUCUCCCCAGAGAAAGAGAAUUCAAGCGACGGCAGGGAGUGCUGGGCUCCGCGAUGAGCAUAGCAGGUGACCCCGGCCAGGUGGGCCUGCCCCUUCCCGGCACGCGUGCGCCUGCCUCGGCCACCUCUUGCCUGAACGAGCCCGGAAGCGAGGCGUGCCAGGGAUGGUGGCUCCCGCUGGGAAGAAAGGACGAGUGAGCAUGAGAGGAGGCAAGGCCGCCCAGGGGCCCGCACGGAGCCCAGCCCCGGGGGGAGGCCUGGGACAGAGCUGGCCACGCUGCCCGCCGGCACGACGAUUUGCACGAGCUCUAUCGCUUCGGCCGGCCUUGGGGCCACGAGCAACGCGUGCAGACACGGAGGACUCCUCGCCUCUCCCUGUCAUAGGGUUUCGAGCUGGUGCUUUUUGACUGGACACGGCUGCAUGUCCCGCCAGGCCCUCUGUGCGGUGUUCGAAUGGGGAAGUAACGCCAUCCGUAGGUACCGUCACGAAUAGCUCUUAACGAUCACCGUGACAUCCGGCCUGGGAUCCCGCGGUGCCCCGGCAGCGGGCUCCCCGUGAGCUGGCUGAUGCUCACAGAGGUUUGUUGUCCCCUCGGGAAGGGGGAUCGUCCCUGGCUGUCCUAUGCUGGACCCAGUUUCCUGGCGGGUUUUUCCCUUCCGCUUUAGUGCUGCCUAAGCCCCGAGAGCACACGGUCCCACUUUGUCGUGAGGCCAUCGCGUCACCCCUUCCUUGAUGGGGCACCGGGGUCAAGUGGACCCAGAUGAGAGUCUCAGUCGGGCACGGGGUUUUAUUCAAUGGGCCUUCUCGAGUCUUCAGAGCAGCUGCAUCCAGAAGGCAAAUCCGAACAACUGGGACGGAAGCAGAUGCUGGCCUGCCAUUCUGACCGGCUGUGUGUCGCGUAGGAGGAUGGCUUAAGCAGGCAGGCAGGUCUGUGACAGCCAGGGCCAGUCGGGGCAGCUGUGGGCUUUGCUGUGGGGCUUGAGGGUUUCUAAGUGCCCCAAGGGUAAGUCAAGUCCAGUCUUGGCUUUUCAGACCGUUAGAGAAGUACUUUUCAUGUGCAAAGCAGCGGGAUCUGGUGACGGCAUUUUCUUCCUGGAGGAAAGUGGGGUGUGGGGACGUUGUCGAAUGCUUUAAAUGAUGUAAGGGUCCCCCACGAGCCUGGACGGAGAAAUGAGAGGGGCCCCUGCACCCUGCAGCCAGCUCCACGUCACAACGCACAGGCCAGAGCCUGGAAGGAGCCGCCUUCUUCCCUGUGUGACUUACAAAGAGUCACAGAGCCGAGCCUCAGGCAACAAUCCGGGGCUGGUGGACCUCGUAGACAGUAACCUCCGGGGGGAGGGGGGUGCACCUGUGUUCAUAUUCUUGAUUACCUGACAGGCUGAUGCCGGAAUAUUCUAUGCCCAAGUGCCAAGAACCACACUCGACUGGAGCUAGAUCAGGAAAGAAAGUACAGCUAAAAUGACACCGGUAGUGAGGUGGCAUCCAGUUGACCACCCCCCAAACCUCUUUGCAAAACAGUCCCCGGAAGCGUCGGCUGCACGAAGCAAUACACACUGCAGCCGUGUGACUUGUCUGGGAGCAAUUAAUUAGGGGUGAGAAAAAAAGGACUUCAGCCUCCUUUCCAGGGUGUGUGUGACAGGCCCUGCGACAGGCCCUGCUUCGGUAAGACUGCCGAUGGAAGGUUCCCCAGGAGCCUGACGCCUCGCGGCCGGGAAGGGCAGCCAGUUGGGGGCUGACGGCAGCGAGCGCCCCUGGGAAAGGGGCCGCCGUGCACGCGAGGCCGCUCGCCUCUUGUUUCCCUGCGGAGCUGGCUCGUGGGUAACGGGGCCAGGAGUGUGACCAGGGCCUGAGGCUUGGGGCUCUGCACUGAAAAUGGGAACGAUCACAGAUACCAGAGGGAGGCAAGUGCUCACGGCAGCUGUGUGCCCUGCGCGGGGCACGGCCUCCGGGAGGUGGUGGGGCGAGCCCACGUGGGUCUCUGGAGCCCCUUUUUGCUUUUCCUCCCAUGUCAUCCUGUUGGGGAGUUCCUGCAGAUCGGGGGCUGUGCCGUGCCGAAGGGGGGACCCAAGGGUCUCAAGCCUGCAAGUCCCCCAGGCCCCCCAGGAACUUGGGGCAUGGCACUUUCCUUGGGGAGGGAGGAGCUCGAAGGCACAGGGUCCUCCCGCAGGAGAGGCCACCAGGUGCCUCCUGGGCAGGGAGCCACUGGACGGUGGCCUUUGUCCGCUCGGGGCCCCCUCCGUCCCGGGUAGGACCGGCCUUGUACGGAGAAUCACGCUGAUCUGCAAAACCCAGUAUGUUUUGUACUGUUUCCUUUCUGGCAUUAAUAAAGGUUUUAUACGGA